rnacentral:rRNA from 1 species
GACGAACGCUGGCGGCGUGCUUAAUACAUGCAAGUCGAACGGACAGGCCCUGCUCUUGUGGGGUGCUCGAGUGGCGAACGGGUGUGUAACACGUGUGUAUACUGUCCUUGACUUUGGGGUAUCUUUUGGGAACUGGGGCUCAUACCGGAUAGGAGCUCUUGCUGCACGGUGGGGGUUGGAAAGUUUCGGCGGUUUUGGCUGGUCUCGCGGCUUCUGAGCUUGUUGGUGGGGUAGUGGCUUACCAAGCUUUUGACGGGUAGCCGGCCUGAGAGGGUGACCGGCCACCUUGGGACUGAGAUACGGCCCAGACUCCUACGGUCGGCAACAGUGGAGAAUAUGGCACAAUGGGCGGAAGCCUGAUGCAGCAACGCCGCGUGCGUGAUGACGGCCUACGAGUUGUAAACCGCUGUCGCCUGUAACGAAGCGUGAGUGACGGUAAUGGGUAAAGAAGCACCGGCUAACUACGUG